rnacentral:rRNA from 1 species
AUGGUUAAAAGUUACAUGCACACAACUUUUCCCUUGGUUUACCAUCUUGUUGAGUUAGCAUUGAUUUUACCUAUUGCAACCGCAACAGUGGAAAGAGCAUUCUUAGCAAUGAGCAUUAUCAAGACUGGAUUGAGGAACAAAAUGGGUGAUGAUUGGAUGAAUCAUAGAAUGGUAUGUUACAUUGAGCGAGAUGUAUUUGUUAGCAUUGAAGAAUCAAAGAUCAUCGAGCGAUUUCAAGGUUAUCGCACACGUAAAGGCAUUUUGCCUCGUCCUAUACGUAAGUUUUCACAUUUUGCAUGUAUCAUUAACUUGUUUUACUUGCUAUAUUAUGCACUAACUUGCAUUUCAAAAUUGAUGAUUGAAUGUUUAGCUUCUUCUGGUAUUGAAGAUGUAAUCAUGGGAGGCUCAGACCAACCAAUCCUUUGA